rnacentral:misc_RNA from 1 species
CGUCCAUGACCUUAAUGCGUGAUGGUAAACGCCGAGUUAGGGAGCGGAUUUGGGCCAGAAAUUGUGGUCAUGGAAUCGUGCAGGCGAGCGUCGCGCUUACGGCCUGAAAAACAGGAACGUCGCCAGCACCAAAGCCGGCACCAGCACCAGCAUCGACCACACCAUAUAGCCGAAAAAGCUCGGCAUUUUCACGCCGGCCUGCCGCGCGAUGGCAUAGACCAUGAAGUUCGGUGCGUUGCCGAUAUAGGUAUUGGCGCCCAUGUAGACCGCGCCGGACGAGAUUGCCGCCAGCGUCGCAGCCNAUCAAAACCUGCGAAUCUCCGCCGGCGAGCUGGAAGAACACCAGAUAGGUCGGCGCAUUGUCG